UGCACCUCAAGAAGAAAGGCAGGCCCCUAGUGUCCUUGUUUCUUUCUCCGCUCUCUCCCCCCUCUCUUCUCUCUUAAACUCUCUGUCUCCUUCUCCUGCGAUGGCCGAUGGAGAAUUUGUCGUAACGGCCGUGGAGGAGCAAUACUACAAAGUCGAAGACACUCGCGGCUGGCACCCACUUUUCCAAAGGCUACAGCAGAUAGCAAAGGCACAGGCAGGGCCUCAAACCGAGGCGAGAAGACCCACCAACAUACCUCGUAA